CCCCACAUCAGGGCCUGCAGUCUGGGGGCUGCUCUCCAUGCCACAUGUGGGAGAGGCCGAGUGCAGAGAAGAGAUCUGAGGAUGGGACCACAGAACCCCUGGGCCACCAGACAGGUGACCUGCCUGAGGGUGGCAGUGCCUGGAACUGCAAGCAGGUGGCAGAACAGGUUGUCUCUCCAAGAUUCCCAGUGAAGGGGAAGCACCUAGUGACUCUGAGCCUUGUUGGAGCUUGGCCAGGCUGAAGACAGCCUGUGCCACAUCUGUCACAGCGACGGCCACACCCACAGAAUGGGCAGCAGAGGCUGCAACAUCCUGGCCUGCAACCCAGGUCCUGGUGAGUCAGGCAGAAAGUGAAGGUGGCUGGUGCCUGCUCCUCUGCCUCCUCCAGGCAGGCCUCCCUGAAUGCAACUCUUGGAGAUUGGGAGCAACUCAGUCAGCAGACUUUCUCUGACCCAGCAGACUUGGCUCUCAAGGGCAGCAAGCCCUCAUUCACCUCCAAGCUCACGGUUGAGCGUACAGAAACUGCUUGAUUCCUCCUGUGGACUCGGCAUGAGGGAGACACCAGGGAGGCCCCUGUGUGAUUUUUCACUUUGCUUUCAAGUUAAAUGGUGUGAUGGGCUACCUGAGAUUUUGCUCAAAAUGUGAACAUCUGGCUCAGGCUGUGAUCGACUGAUCAGAGCUGACCUGGACUACUGAAGGCCUUGGUAUCCCCUGGGUGAGGCCAGGGAGGGGGCCCCCUGGCCUCAGAGUAAAGACUCUCUAGACCUCCCUCCCCUGUCUGCAGAUUUGAGUUCAGGGUAACAUCUCCAGACAGAAACCUUGGCCCCAGGCUCCCAGAGGAUCACCUUCCCAGCAGAACCCUGAGAGAGAGGGGGAUCCUUGAAAGCUGAGGGCAGACCUGAGAAGCAGGUCCUCCUCCUCCGCCCAGCAGAAGGUCUCUUUGACACAGACUGCUUUCCCCAGGCCAGGGGCUGGGAAAAGGAAACCCCCUUCCCAGAUGGGUCUCAGCUCCGCCCCCCUCUCUGCUUCCCGGACAGACCCUCUCCUGGGCUGAAGGCUGUAGCCCUAGAGUUUUCUCUGGGAUGGGGGAGGGGACACCCACUUCUUG
rnacentral:lncRNA from 1 species